rnacentral:rRNA from 1 species
ACGCUAUCACUCCUACGGGAGGCAGCAGUGAGGAAUAUUGGGCAAUGGAGGCAACUCUGACCCAGCCAUGCCGCGUGCAGGAAGACGGCCCUAUGGGUUGUAAACUGCUUUUGUACGGGAAGAAACACUCCUACGUGUAGGAGCUUGACGGUACCGUAAGAAUAAGGAUCGGCUAACUCCGUGCCAGCAGCCGCGGUAAUACGGAGGAUCCAAGCGUUAUCCGGAAUCAUUGGGUUUAAAGGGUCCGUAGGCGGCCUUAUAAGUCAGUGGUGAAAUCUCCUAGCUCAACUAGGAAACUGCCAUUGAUACUGUAGGGCUUGAAUUUUUGUGAAGUAACUAGAAUAUGUAGUGUAGCGGUGAAAUGCUUAGAUAUUACAUGGAAUACCAAUUGCGAAGGCAGGUUACUAACAAACGAUUGACGCUGAUGGACGAAAGCGUGGGGAGCGAACAGGAUUAGAUACCCUGGUAG